rnacentral:rRNA from 1 species
AUGACCGACGAAGAUCGGAGAAAAUUCCAGGAAGCCAAUACUAUGUUUGUGGGAUGCAUUCUGAGUGUUCUUGCUGACCGUCUGUGUGAUGUGUACAUGCACAUAAACGACGGAAAAAUUCUGUGGGAUGCACUGAAUGCAAAAUUCGGUGCAACAGAUGCAGGCAGUGAACUGUACAUCAUGGAGAGUUUUCAUGACUACAAGAUGGUGAAUAACCGUUCUGUGGUUGUACAAGCUCAUGAGAUACAGUGCAUUGUGAAGGAACUUGAACUCCUUAAAUGUGUUCUACCCGACAAAUUCGUGGCUGGGUGCAUGAUUGCAAAGUUGCCUCCUUCAUGGAGGAAUUUCGCCACAACUCUGAAGCAUAAGAGACAAGAGAUAUCAGUUGAAAAUCUGAUUGCAUCUCUUGAUGUUGAAGAAAAAGCUCGGGCUAAAGAUAUUGAUUCGGGUGCUAAUGUUCAUGUGUGUGCUGACAUCUCCUUGUUUACUUCUUAUCAGGUCACAAGGGAUUCUUCCGUCCUAAUGGGGAAUGGGUCACAUGCUUCUGUUCGUGGCAUUGGCACGGUGGCUAAAGUUGAAAAUCAACUAGAGAGAAAGAUCAAGCGUCUUAGGUCCGAUCGUGGUGGAGAGUAUUUUCCAAAAGUUUUUGAUGAAUUUUGUGAGGAACAUGGUAUUAUUCAUGAGAGGACGCCUCCCUAUUCACCUCAAUCAAAUGGAGUGGCCGAGAGGAAAAACCGCACAUUGACUGACUUGGUGAAUGCCAUGUUAGACACUGCUGGUUUAUCUAAGGCAUGGUGGGGGGAGGCUCUAUUGACUUCAUGUCAUGUCCUGAAUAGAGUUCCUAACAAUAAUAAAGAGAAAACCCCUUAUGAGGAGUGGGUUGGGAGAAAACCAUCACUUUCUUAUUUGCGCACUUGGGGAUGUUUGACAAAGGUUAAUAUUCCUAUUCCUAAGAAACGCAAACUUGGACCAAAGACAGUGGAUUGUGUCUUUCUAGGGUAUGCUCAACGGAGCAUUGCUUAUAGGUUUUUAGUGGUAAAAUCUGAAGUACCUGAUAUGCAUGUUGAUACUAUAAUGGAAUUUCGUGAUGCAACAUUUUUUGAGAACAUAUUUCCUAUGAAAGAUAUGCAUAGCAUUGCUAGAUUUUCUUCUGAGAUAAUUCCUGAAUCUAGUACAACUGAUGAAUAUUUCGAACAAUCACAUGAGGAAGUCCUUGAGAAGGAUAACAAUGAAGUUCCUAGAAGGAACAAGAGACAAAGGAUUGCAAAAUCCUUUGGUGAUGAUUUCAUUGUAUACCUUGUGGACGACACACCCAAGACGAUUGCAGAAGCAUAUGCAUCUCCGGAUGUAGAUGAUUGGAAAGAAGUUGUUCAUAAUGAGAUGGACUCAAUUCUUUCUAAUGGAACUUGGGAACUAACUGAUAGACCAUAUGGUUGUAAACCUGUGGGCUGUAAGUGGGUGUUCAAAAAGAAGCUAAAGCCUGAUGGUACUAUUGAUAAGUACAAGGCGCGGCUAGUGGCCAAGGGCUACACUCAGAAAGAAGGCGAAGAUUACUUUGACACCUAUUCACCCAUUGCUAGAAUGACCACCAUUCGAGUGUUACUUUCCUUGGCUGCCUCUUAUGGUCUUAUCAUUCAUCAAAUGGAUGUAAAGACAGCUUUUCUCAAUGGAGAGUUGGAAGAGGAGAUCUAUAUGGAUCAGCCUGACGGGUUUGUGGUAAAGGGUGAAGAGAGAAAGGUGUGCAAGUUGUUAAAAUCUUUGUAUGGUCUGAAACAGGCACCUAAGCAAUGGCAUGAGAAGUUUGAAAGAACUUUGACUUCUGCAGGAUUUGUCAUUAACGAGGCUGAUAGGUGUGUUUACUAUCGCCAUGGUGGGGGCAAUAGUGUCAUAUUAUGUUUGUAUGUGGACGACAUACUGAUCUUUGGUACAAACAUUAAUGCAAUUAAUGAGGUCAAGUAUGUUCUAUCAAAAAGUUUUGACAUGAAAGAUCUGGGAGAAGCCGAUGUAAUUCUAAAUAUCAAACUUAUUAAGGAUGAGAGUGGGAUUACCUUAACGCAAUCUCACUAUGUUGAGAAGGUCUUGAACUGA